rnacentral:misc_RNA from 1 species
GAUGAAGAACGCAGCGAAAUGCGACACUUGGUGUGAAUUGCAGAAUCCCGCGAAUCAUCGAGUUUUUGAACGCAAGUUGCGCCCGAAGCCGUCAGGCCGAGGGCACGCCUGCCUGGGUGUCACGCAUCGUUGCCCCAAUGCCAAUCGCCUCACUUUGUAGGUAUUUGCUUGGGGUGAAUGUUGGCCUCCCGUGAGCUUUGUCUCACGGUUGGUUGAAAAUCGAGUGCAUGGUGUCGGGUGUACCAUGAUGGAUGGUGGUUGAGUGAUGAUGCUCGAGACCAAUCAUGGGUAACUCCACCAGAAUUGGGCUCGGUGACCCACAUGCGUCCCUUGGAUGCUCCCUAAGGAGACCUCAGGUCAGGCGGGGCUACCCGCUGAGUUUAAGCAUAUCAAUAAGCGGAGGA